CAUUCGCACUGGACACACACUCAAAGACACUGAGAGUGAAACCAGGAGAAAAGCCUCACUCCUUCACACCAAAGAGGCCCCAGAUCCACAUCACACCAAACAGGCCAGAUCAUCAUGGGCGGUACAGGGGCGGCUUCUUCGAGUCUGUGGUUGGCUACGAAUCCGAGCAAGAGAUGGGGAGAGUUGUUUUUCCUUCUCUACACUCCUUUCUGGCUCACUUUGUGCCUCGGGAUUGUCGUUCCGUACAAGCUAUACGAGAACUUUACAGAAUUGGAAUACUUGCUUCUCGGAUUGGUUUCAGCUGUUCCUUCUUUCUUGAUACCAAUGCUAUUUGCGGGGGAGGUUGAUAGGAGCCUGUGCUUGAAGGACCGUUAUUGGUUAAAGGCCAGUUUGUGGAUAGUAAUCUUUAGUUAUGUUGGGAAUUACUUCUGGACCCAUUAUUUCUUUACAGUUUUGGGAGCUUCAUAUACCUUUCCAUCAUGGAAGAUGAAUAAUGUACCACACACCACUUUCCUUCUCACACAUGUCUGCUUCCUAUUCUACCAUAUGUCGUCAAACAUAACACUUCGUAGACUACGGCAUUCUAUUGCUGAUUUGCCAGAGAAAAUUCAGUGGUUUACUGAGGCUGCAUGGAUUUUAGCUCUUGCCUAUUUCAUAGCCUAUUUAGAGACUAUAGCUAUUUCUAAUUUUCCAUAUUAUCAGUUUGUGGACCGGGCAUCCAUGUACAAAGUUGGGUCCUUGUUUUAUGCUAUUUAUUUCAUUGUAAGCUUCCCAAUGUUUCUGAGGAUUGAUGAGAAACCUGGGAAUACCUGGGACUUGCCCAGGGUGGCUGUAGAUGCUCUGGGAGCUGCAAUGCUUGUUACAAUCAUUCUUGAUCUGUGGCGCAUCUUUCUGGGACCUAUUGUUCUGAUCCCAGAAUCAAACCAGUGCCAUCAGCCAGGACUGCCAUGGUUUCCAGGACACGGCCCCAAAGCUUGAUGCCACAUAACAAAGGACAAUGUGUUGCAAGAACUUGAAUUGAGUAAUGUUCCUACAAAGGCAACUCAGGUGAGAAGUAAAUUUUAGGGCCAAACUUUUCAAGAUUUGGAGUACUUAUUUGAGGUACCCUUAGUUCGGGUGAGGAGUGAUGGAUAG